AUACAGUACAGAAUGUUCUCAGGUCAGAUAUCUCGUGCUCUGUCCCAGACCUACCAGGCGUGUUCCUGACUUACUGAGCUGAGGGUACAGUUAACUUAGCAUCCAACCCCUUCAUGCCAACUAUAGCUAAUGCAAGCAAGUGCACCCCUGACAAGAUAGAGCUUCACUGGACCUGGAGUCCUACACACCUUGACUAAGUGGAGAUGCAAAAAAAUCUGCAGAUGCUGGACUCUGGAACAAUACGCAAAAAGUGCUGGAGGAACUCAGCAUCCAUGGAGGGAAAUAAACAGUCGACGUUUCAGGCCGAGACCCUUCAUCAGGACUGGAAAGGAAGAGGGCAGAAGCCAGAAGAAGAAGGUGGGGGGAGGGGGAGGAGCACAUGCAGGCAGGACUUCUAAGUGUCCUAGUUGCUGCAUUGGUGUGUUUCCGUUGCCUCAAUGAAGAGUUGUAUUUUUAUAACUCAGUGAUGGACUCCUUGAUGGUUCUACUUUAUUGCAUGAAGUAAUUUUUUAAUGGAAUUUUAACACAUUUGUGCAAACACAGCAUAUUUACAGGAUGUCUGUAUUGCCAAAAAGUGAUGUUGUGCUAUCCAAUAAAGCAAAAUAAGCACCAUGAAGUUUUGCCGAGUAAG